CAGUACACUCUGUACAUUGCAAUGGAAGCACAGGAAACAUGCAGAAAAUUAGGCUCCGGUGGUGCCUCGUUCUCCUGCAAAACUUUCCCAUGCAGUCUGAAGAGGUUGAAAGAUUGAAAAAGGUGGCGAAAACAAAACACACUACAGG